rnacentral:rRNA from 1 species
AUUAGGGUUUGAUCAUGGCUCAGAUUGAACGCUGGCGGCAGGCCUAACACAUGCAAGUCGAACGGUAACAGGAAGAAGCUUGCUUCUUUGCUGACGAGUGGCGGACGGGUGAGUAAUGUCUGGGAAACUGCCUGAUGGAGGGGGAUAACUACUGGAAACGGUAGCUAAUACCGCAUAACGUCGCAAGACCAAAGAGGGGGACCUUCGGGCCUCUUGCCAUCGGAUGUGCCCAGAUGGGAUUAGCUAGUAGGUGGGGUAACGGCUCACCUAGGCGACGAUCCCUAGCAGGUCUGAGAGGAUGACCAGCCACACUGGAACUGAGACACGGUCCAGACUCCUACGGGAGGCAGCAGUGGGGAAUAUUGCACAAUGGGCGCAAGCCUGAUGCAGCCAUGCCGCGUGUAUGAAGAAGGCCUUCGGGUUGUAAGGUACUUUCAGCGGGGAGGAAGGGAGUAAAGUUAAUACCUUUGCUCAUUGACGUUACCCGCAGAAGAAGCACCGGCUAACUCCGUGCCAGCAGCCGCGGUAAUACGGAGGGUGCAAGCGUUAAUCGGAAUUACUGGGCGUAAAGCGCACGCAGGCGGUUUGUUAAGUCAGAUGUGAAAUCCCCGGGCUCAACCUGGGAACUGCAUCUGAUACUGGCAAGCUUGAGUCUCGUAGAGGGGGGUAGAAUUCCAGGUGUAGCGGUGAAAUGCGUAGAGAUCUGGAGGAAUACCGGUGGCGAAGGCGGCCCCCUGGACGAAGACUGACGCUCAGGUGCGAAAGCGUGGGGGAGCAAACAGGAUUAGAUACCCUGGUAGUCCACGCCGUAAACGAUGUCGACUUGGAGGUUGUGCCCUUGAGGCGUGGCUUCCGGAGCUAACGCGUUAAGUCGACCGCCUGGGGAGUACGGGCCGCAAGG